rnacentral:ncRNA from 2 species
UCGAUCCGACAGGGGAGCGCACAGCGCUGAGAGUGCGGCCAUGCCGCAGACCCUCGUACCUGAUCUGGGUAAUGCCAGCGCAGGAAGUUCGGUCUUCUCCAGCC